rnacentral:rRNA from 1 species
AAGCUCGUAGUUGAAUUUCGGGAUCAAUGUUUCGGUCAUGCCGUUGGUAUGUACUGAUAUUAUUGGUUUCUCACCUUCUAAAGAACCGUAAUGCCAUUAAUUUGGUGUCACGGGGAAUUAGGACUGUUACCUUGAAAAAAUUAGAGUGUUUAAAGCAGGCUCACGCCUGAAUACAUUAGCAUGGAAUAAUGAAAUAGGACAUCCGAUUCUAUUUUGUUGGUUUCUAGGAUCGAUGUAAUGAUUAAUAGGGAUAGUUGGG